rnacentral:rRNA from 1 species
ACCGCCAGCUAAGGUCCCAAAGUCAUGGUUAAGUGGGAAACGAUGUGGGAAGGCCCAGACAGCCAGGAUGUUGGCUUAGAAGCAGCCAUCAUUUAAAGAAAGCGUAAUAGCUCACUGGUCGAGUCGGCCUGCGCGGAAGAUGUAACGGGGCUAAACCAUGCACCGAAGCUGCGGCAGCGACACUGUGUGUUGUUGGGUAGGGGAGCGUUCUGUAAGCCUGUGAAGGUGUGUCGUGAGGCAUGCUGGAGGUAUCAGAAGUGCGAAUGCUGACAUAAGUAACGAUAAAGCGGGUGAAAAGCCCGCUCGCCGGAAGACCAAGGGUUCCUGUCCAACGUUAAUCGGGGCAGGGUGAGUCGACCCCUAAGGCGAGGCCGAAAGGCGUAGUCGAUGGGAAACGGGUUAAUAUUCCCGUACUUGGUGUUACUGCGAAGGGGGGACGGAGAAGGCUAUGUUGGCCGGGCGACGGUUGUCCCGGUUUAAGCGUGUAGGUGUGUGUUCCAGGUAAAUCCGGUUCACUUUAACACUGAGGCGUGACGACGAGGCACUACGGUGCUGAAGCAACAAAUGCCCUGCUUCCAGGAAAAGCCUCUAAGCAUCAGGUAACAUCAAAUCGUACCCCAAACCGACACAGGUGGUCAGGUAGAGAAUACCAAGGCGCUUGAGAGAACUCGGGUGAAGGAACUAGGCAAAAUGGUGCCGUAACUUCGGGAGAAGGCACGCUGACACGUAGGUGAAGUGAUUUACUCAUGGAGCUGAAGUCAGUCGAAGAUACCAGCUGGCUGCAACUGUUUAUUAAAAACACAGCACUGUGCAAACACGAAAGUGGACGUAUACGGUGUGACGCCUGCCCGGUGCCGGAAGGUUAAUUGAUGGGGUCAGCGCAAGCGAAGCUCCUGAUCGAAGCCCCGGUAAACGGCGGCCGUAACUAUAACGGUCCUAAGGUAGCGAAAUUCCUUGUCGGGUAAGUUCCGACCUGCACGAAUGGCGUAAUGAUGGCCAGGCUGUCUCCACCCGAGACUCAGUGAAAUUGAACUCGCUGUGAAGAUGCAGUGUACCCGCGGCAAGACGGAAAGACCCCGUGAACCUUUACUAUAGCUUGACACUGAACAUUGAGCCUUGAUGUGUAGGAUAGGUGGGAGGCUUUGAAGCGUGG